CAAGAAGACAGCUGGUUAGCUAUAACUAGUGUAUUUAGCUACUUCCCUAACCAUUGCCCACCCUUAUUAAUGGUUAAACACUCUCUGUGUCAUUGUUUGCUCUUUCUGGCCAAUUCAAACUCUUUCAAGUGGGAGGAAGAGUGAAGCGUGGAGGGAAACCAACACCAAAGGCCUGCUUGUAUUUUACAAGAUACCCAAUUAAAUGGCACCUCAGGUUACCUAUAAGUGUCACUUGUUUUCCUGUUAAGGGACAUUUAUUGGAACUCAGAAAUGCAUGAAUGAGCAGAGCUCUUAACCUUGCCUUGAUAUUGGUGGAUGCGUAUUGUGCCUAACUGCCAUCCUUCGUACCUACGUGUUAUCUUUCCCUUAUCUCCACAGUAUCAGAGAGCUUCAAUUUUCUGCUUAUUUAUCUCCAUGGUGUCCUGAGGACUUCUUAAAAGAAUGAGAUCUGACUAACUUGUCCAAAGUCACACAAGAAACUGGUGUCAGCGCAGAGGAUUGAUAAUUUGUCAGCAUGACAAGUGGGUGGCCAUGAAGCCUUUCUGGAGCACCUCAAAUGUCACAGCAGCCCUUUGGCCUUGGGCCCCUGCCCUUCUUGCAGGGAGCGGUUGAAGCUGUGCUGGCCUCAGGCCCUCGUGGGUCUGGGUGUCCCUUGGCUGCCCAUGCACGGGGCUGUGGCAGGCCAAAAACCCACUUGGGCAAGAUUCAAACAAACAUCCAGGCCAGCAGCUUCAAGUGCUCUCAUUCACAAGUGAUCAGUCAGAAAUCUCUCUGCUGGGUUUGGUGGCACUGACAUCAAAGGUAAAGCAUUUUUCAUUGCAUGACCACACUGACGUCACCACUGCAAAGC
rnacentral:lncRNA from 1 species